UGAACGCUAGCGACAGGCCUAACACAUGCAAGGUCGAGGGGCAGCGCGGGAGAAGCUUGCUUUCCUGGCGGCGACCGGCGCACGGGUGCGUAACAGGUGUGCAAUCUGUCCUAUACCAGGGCAUAGCCCAGCGAAAGUUGGAUUAAUUCUCUAUGUGAGCCGAGAGGGCAUCCUUUGGUUUGAAACGCGAGGGUAUAGGGUGAGCACGCUUCUGAUUAGCUAGUUGGUGAGGUAACGGCUCACCAAGGCGACGAUCAGUAGGGGUUCUGAGAGGAAGGUCCCCCACAUUGGAACUGAGACACGGUCCAAACUCCUACGGGAGGCAGCAGUGAGGAAUAUUGGUCAAUGGGCGGGAGCCUGAACCAGCCAAGUAGCGUGAAGGAUGACUGCCCUACGGGUUGUAAACUUCUUUUGUUUGGGAAUAAAUGAUACUACGUGUAGUAUUUUGCAUGUACCUUACGAAUAAGCAUCGGCUAAUUCCGUG
rnacentral:rRNA from 1 species